rnacentral:rRNA from 1 species
CCUACGGGUGGCAGCAGUGGGGAAUAUUGGACAAUGGGGGGAACCCUGAUCCAGCGACGCCGCGUGAGUGAAGAAGUAUUUCGGUAUGUAAAGCUCUAUCAGCAGGGAAGAAAGAAAUGACGGUACCUGACUAAGAAGCCCCGGCUAACUACGUGCCAGCAGCCGCGGUAAUACGUAGGGGGCAAGCGUUAUCCGGAUUUACUGGGUGUAAAGGGAGCGUAGACGGCGAUGCAAGUCUGAAGUGAAAGGCGGGGGCUCAACCCCCGGACUGCUCUGGAAACUGUACGGCUGGAGUGCAGGAGAGGUAAGUGGAAUUCCUAGUGUAGCGGUGAAAUGCGUAGAUAUUAGGAGGAACACCAGUGGCGAAGGCGGCUUACUGGACUGUAACUGACGUUGAGGCUCGAAAGCGUGGGGAGCAAACAGGAUUAGAUACCCCUGUAGUC